UACGAAGGGGGCUAGCGUUGUUCGGAAUCACUGGGCGUAAAGGGCGCGUAGGCGGCUUUUCAAGUCGGGGGUGAAAGCCUGUGGCUCAACCACAGAAUGCCUUCGAUACUGUUAGGCUUGAGACCGGAAGAGGUGAGUGGAACUGCGAGUGUAGAGGUGAAAUUCGUAGAUAUUCGCAAGAACACCAGUGGCGAAGGCGGCUCACUGGCCCGAUACUGACGCUGAGGCACGAAGCGUGGGAGCAACAGGG
rnacentral:rRNA from 1 species